rnacentral:rRNA from 1 species
CUGGCGGCGUGCUUAACACAUGCAAGUCGAACGGGGAUUACCGAGCGGAAGGCUUCGGCCGGAAGGUUGGUAAUUCGAGUGGCGGACGGGUGAGUAACGCGUGAGCAAUCUGUCCCAGACAGGGGGAUAACACUUGGAAACAGGUGCUAAUACCGCAUAAGACCACGACACCGCAUGGUGAAGGGGUAAAAGGAGCAAUCCGGUUUGGGGUGAGCUCGCGUCCGAUUAGCCAGUUGGCGGGUAACGGCCCACCAAAGCGACGAUCGGUAGCCGGACUGAGAGGUUGAACGGCCACAUUGGAACUGAGAGACGGUCCAAACUCCUACGGGAGGCAGCAGUGGGGAAUAUUGGGCAAUGGGCGAAAAAGCCUGACCCAGCAACGCCGCGUGAGUGAAGAAGGCCUUCGGGUUGUAAAGCUCUGUUAUAGGGGACGAAGGAAGUGACGGUACCCUAUAAGGAAGCCCCGGCUAACUACGUGCCAGCCGCAGC